AUACGUAGGUGGCGAGCGUUGUCCGGAAUUAUUGGGCGUAAAGGAUGCGUAGGUGGAUAUUUAAGUGGGAUGUGAAAUCCCCGGGCUCAACCCGGGAACUGCAUUCCAUACUGGAUAUCUAGAGUGCAGGAGAGGAAAGCGGAAUUCCUAGUGUAGCGGUGAAAUGCGUAGAUAUUAGGAGGAACACCAGUGGCGAAGGCGGCUUUCUGGACUGUAACUGACACUGAGGCAUGAAAGCGUGGGUAGCAAACAGGAUUAGAUACCCUGGUAGUCCACGCCGUAAACGAUGGGUACUAGGUGUAGGAGGUAUCGACCCCUUCUGUGCCGUCGUUAACACAAUAAGUACCCCGCCUGGGGAGUACGGUCGCAAGACUAAA
rnacentral:rRNA from 1 species